rnacentral:rRNA from 1 species
UACGGGGGGUGCAAGCGUUGUCCGGAUUUAUUGGGUUUAAAGGGUGCGUAGGCGGUUUAGUAAGUCGGCGUUAAAAUCCAGCAGCUUAACUGUUGGCCUGGCACCGAUACUACUAGACUUGAGUACAGUUGAGGCAGGCGGAAUUUAUGGUGUAGCGGUGAAAUGCAUAGAUACCAUAAAGAACACCGAUAGCGAAGGCAGCUUGCCAAGUUGUAACUGACGCUGAGGCACGAAAGCGUGGGGAGCAAACAGG